CCCUUAGAUGUUCUGGGCCGCACGCGCGCUACACUGACGAAUGCAACGAGCUUAUAACCUUGGCCGAAAGGUCUGGGUAAUCUCCAAAUUUCGUCGUGAUGGGGAUAGAUUAUUGCAAUUAUUAAUCUUCAACGAGGAAUGCCUAGUAAGCGCAAGUCAUCAGCUUGCGUUGAUUACGUCCCUGCCCUUUGUACACACCGCCCGUCGCUCCUACCGAUUGAAUGGUCCGGUGAAGCGCUCGGACCGCGGCCUCUUGACGGUUUUCCGUCGAUUGGCUGUGGGGAGUUCGUUAAACCUUAUCAUUUAGAGGAAGGAGAAGUCGUAACA
rnacentral:rRNA from 1 species